CCACCAGCAAUGAGCCAUGCCUCCAUGACUUGAUGAGGUCUGGGACCUUUGUGUGUUUCAGUAUCUUGCCAGCGGGCUCCCUGUGAGACACACCAGUGAGACAGGAACCGACAAGUUCCUUCCGGCGGAUAUCAGGCGUGCAGUGAAGCAGGCAACUCGGAAGAUGAAGAGCUAGCAGGGGCGUGGGGAGGCAAUCCUGGGGUUUUCCGUCAGUCCCAGGAGCUCCAGAGAGGAUCCAGGAGAAGCCGGAAGUCCAGUCCCUGAGGCGGCUCUGCAGGACGCGACUGCGCAGCGUCCCCAUCCCUGCAGCCUUGGCAAAGGUGUGGGCAGGCCUUGGGGGGCCCCGAGCAUGUCUCUGAUGAGGGGCUGCUGUGCUCUUUCCAGCUCUGCUACGUCUGUGGUGAGCACGGGGCCAUCACUAGCUGCCGGCAGAAGGGCUGCAAGCGCAGCUUCCACUUCCCGUGCGGCUGCAAAGAUGGCUGCGUCUCGCAGUUCUUUGGGCAGUACAGGUCCUUCUGCCGGGAACAUCUCCCGGAGCAAAGAGUGCAGGCACAGCUGGAUGGGGAGACCUUCUGCCUCAUUUGUCUGGAGCCCGUGGAGGAAAAGCUCUCCCACCACACUCUGGUGUGCCCUGCGUGUACGCACGCAUGGUUCCACCAGGGCUGCAUCCAGCAAUAGGCUCUCGGGGCAGGCUUCUUCUGCUUCCAGUGCCCGCAGUGUAAAGACAGGGAGACAUUCCUGUGGGAAAUGUCUUCCCUGGGCAUCCGAGUGCCCCUCAGACAACCCACGUGGGAGGCAGAGGGUGCCUUUGCCAAGCUGUAUGAGAGGCACCGUUGAUGUGAUGCCAGCCGGUGUCUUUGUGCGCAUGGCCGAGAAGAGGCAGCAGAAGAGGGGCCAUGGCAGCUGCUGCUUUGCUCCUCCUGUGCUGCCAAAGGCACGCACCACCGCUGCUCCGCCUUGAGGCCCACCACAGCCACAUGGGAGUGUGUUGACUGUGCGGGCCUGGGCACUG
rnacentral:lncRNA from 1 species